ACAGACCCGAUGUGAAUGCUCCCCACCUGCCCCGUUUGCCCUCAGCCCUGGGGGCCUGGACGGGAGGAGACCGGGGCGGGCUAGGAAGGGUCACAGGGUCAACCUGACUGGGGUGUGGGGGUCAGGGGACGGCUGUCUGAUGGGAGCAGGGGGAUCUGACGGGAGCUGUGACCCCCUGGUCCUGCUGCCCAGAGGCUCUGUCCUCGGACGUGGUCAAUCCCGGGAGACGGGGUCACAGGGCCAGGAAAGAAAGUGUGUGAAUCAGGGCCAGCAGCCCCGUCAGACAGUCCCCCAAAUGCCUGCUGGCCAGGGGGGAGGGUCUCUCAGGGCGGCUGGACAUGGACCGCUCCCAGAGGGGAGCACAGUCAUGACAGCAGACUGGGGUCCGCUGUGCAGGUGGACAGGACUCAAGGAUACGGGAUCCUACGCAGCAACCCCACACGACAUCUCCUUUAUUUUACAGUAUUGCAUGUUUGCCUUUUUCCCUUUUCUAGGGCCACUCUUGCAGCAUAUGGAGGUUCCGAGACUAGGGAGCCAAUCGGAGCUGCAGCUGCCAGCCCAAACCACAGCCACAGCAACGUGGGAUCCAGCCGCAUCUGUGACCAACACCACAGCUCACAACAACCCUGGAUCCUCACCACACUGAGUGAGGCCGGGGAUCGAACCCGCAAUCUCAUGGUUCCAAGGUGCAUCCAUUAACCGCUGAGCUACAACAGGAACUCAGAGGACAACUCCUGUAACUCAUCCAACUCUGGUAGUGCCGCUUCCCUGAGGACACACCGUGAGGACACAACAGGUCAGGGAGCCCAGAAAUCCUGAACGUGCAGAGGGAGAGAGCUGCCUUCUCACCCACCACCUGACACUCACUAGACCAACUUCGUCUCCAGGGUCGGGGGCCUAGGAGAGGUUGGCGUCCCACCCCGUCAGGUCCAUCAAGGUCACUAAAGGAAACUAAGUCAACAGCUCUUGUGCACAGGACCCUCAGGGUGCGAGUCACAAAGCAAGCUGGCACAGUGGCCAGGCCAAGAGCUGGAAGGAGCAGCCUUGGGAGGGAAAAUCCAUUUUCCCUCUCCAAGGAAGGAGACAGGAAGACACACACAGCACAACAAAGACCAGGCACCCAAGUCUUCUUCGUGUGAUCAAUUUCAGAGGGGAAAACGCCACACCAGGCUUCCACUCAUUAGGCCACCCACCCACCCGCCAAGUCCCAUCCCCCUUCCUCCCUCGCCCGGCAGCAGGUGCAACCCAGGUGCUCCCAGGAACCCUCUCCCACUGGAUCCCAGCUGCGUGCUCUUCCCUACCUGCAGCCUCCUCGUCCUGGUGGCUGUUGCUGCUCUCCACCACCGAGUCUGCAGAAACACACCGCGGGGAAUCAAGGACGUACAAACAGCGGCCCUCCCGCUUCUCCCCCGUCCCUGAGGUGACUGCGGGUCACGGAGCAUCACCCUGGUUUUUCCUCCAGGUGCCCACACCUCCCUCGGCUCCAGGGACUGAGACGCUUCGACCCAAUGUGAGCACAGAUGCCAACAUUCCGGCACCUCUUCAUCUGCUCCCUCUCCCUCUUAAAACAGGCGAUGAACAUCUUUACACCAAUUUCUUUCUGUUGUUAGAUUUCAGACUCACCUGCCCCACACCCCAAGCAGCAGGCGCAACCCAAGUGUCCCGGGAACCCUCUCCCAUUGACCCCUACCCGAGAGCUAAUCCUACCUGUGUCAUCUUCAUCAUGGACGCUGCCACACAGACUGUCCAUGCUCGUGCUGCAGAAACACAGACAUGAGGAAUCAAGGUGUUAGAAUCUGUCCCCCACUCAUGUCGCCUACCGAUGUUGUCUGGGGCCUCACAGCACUGCCCUGGUCUGGCCUCCGUGUGCUCAGAACUUCCCUGGGCUCUAUGGCCUCAACGUGUCUCUGCAACCAAAGGAGCAGGAAAGCCCCCCCUCCCUUCCUCAACACCUGGACUUCUCCUCAGCGGAGCAGGGUUCCAGAAUACUCACAGCUUUCACCGUCCGUCCCGUCCACCUGCAAUGACAGAAAAGAAAACACGGUGAGCGUCACAGCAUCCUCUGCACGGUGGCUGCAGGUCUUCCUGCUGUUGGGGACCACAGGCAGGCACACAGAAGGCAGAGUUGAGUCGGUUUCCCCAAAAGAAGACAGCGAAGACACCUUUGGAAAAGGCGCGAACUUCUCACGGAAGACCUCCCCAGGCCAUGUUCCUUUAAAAAACAUUCCGGCCUCUUCAAAGAAAAAUGCUCCCUACUCUACCCUUGGGAACUGAUGCGCUCCCUUUUGCAAAUGCCCCUUGGAAGGAGCUAGUUGCUGGUACCAAACGUUGACUCCACGUUCCUCCGCAGAGGAAUCUGCAUGCCUCAUAAACAAUGGACUUCCUCAGAUUUUCAUUUCUCAGGUAGGAAUAUCAAAAAAGAAAGGAGGCGACUUUUCCAACCUCACAUCAAGAAAGGUGAGCUUACCUUGGGGGCAGAUUCAUCUUCCUGCUCAGCCCCAGCCCUGGCUGGGGACGUCUUGUCAUUGUCACUGCCUGGGCCCGCCUCCUCCUCUGCCUCGCCAACGGCUGCGGCCUCCUCUGCCCCCUUCUCAGGGGCCGGGCCCGCCUCCUCCUCCUUGGUCACAGCCUGGGCCUCCUCCUCGGUCUUCUCACUCCCACCGGCCUCCACAACAUCGUCGUGCGUUGCUAGGGGGACACACACUCACUGUCAGCAGGGCGGUGGUGCUGCUCAGGAGGUAUUCUGGGCGCCUCACCUGACUGGACAUGGGCUGGGAGUCAAGGGGUGGGGCUGGCAUGAAGCACGGACGGAGCUUCUCCCGGCCCAUCCUCCCGGGUAAACGUGUUGAAGGAAGGCAGCGAGCACCUUGAAAGACCUGAGAAAGGGAGCCUCUGCCUCUCUUGCUAAAGGGAACCUCUCCGGGGCAUAGUCCCCAUCUGAGAAAUGGCCAACACGAGAGAAUGCAGGCUCUGCUGCCACGAGACAGCCUCCUGAGUGCUCCUGCCCAUUCUCACGUCCAGCCACAGGCCUCCAUCGUCUGAAAUGGCAGGACAUCGUUUCAGCUUCCCUACGCUUCCCACAGGGUGCUCCUGAGUUCACGCUCCAUCCUCUGGAGUGGUUCGCCUCUUUCAUGGUCUUAGAUGCAUAAUACUUCUCGUUGGAAUGCUUUGGCCGUAGGAAUCUCAGGCAGAGAGCAGGCCUUCCCAAUGCCAUGGACUUUGCACUACUGUCCACAACAACCUUUCUCGGCGUAACUCACAGGACCUCUGCACCCAUUCAGGAAUCAGUCCCCCUUCAUCCCUGCUGCCAGGUCUCAGCCAUCUCUACGUGCCAUCUCUGACAGUCUGCCUAGUCUCGUUACCGCCUAUAUGUUGAAUUGCACAGUGUUCUUUUUCUGUGUCUGCCUCAUUGAACUGUGGGUUUUUUUUUUUUUAAUAUUCUUUGCCUUUUAGCGCCACACCCAUGGCAUAUGGAGGUUCCCAGGCUAGGGGUCUAAUCAGAGCUGUAGCUGCCGGCUUCCGCCAGAGCCACAGCAAGGCAGGAUCCCAGGCACAUCUGCGACCUACACCACAGAUCCCGGCAUCACCGGAUCUUUACCCCACUGAGCGAGGCCAGGGAUCCAAUCCACAAUCUCAGGCUUCCUAGUCGGAGUCACUUCUGCCAUGCCACCACGGGAACUCCUCACUCAAUGUUAAAACUGUGUUUUCUUUGGAAUCAACCAUGUGGUCACCUAUUUAAAAGUUUAAUUUUGUUUCUGGCAGAAUACUGUUCUCUUCUGGGUACACGGCACAUUGGAUCUGUCCCCUGAUCUCUUCUUGUCUUUUGGGAGUGGUUUCACCUUUUGGCUAUUGGGAAUAACCCACUGCUACAAACGGCAGUGUACACGUCCUCUAUGGUAAUAACAUACCAGGGACUCCUAACAUUGUGCAGGUGUCCAACCUCAACUCACGUCACAGCACAAAAAAUGAAUCUGAAUGUAAACGGGGAACUUCUCACUGACUAAAAUGGUAUGACUCUUUUGCCGCUCAGGGCACCACAUGUUCCCCAUUCCGUGCUGGACGUUGUCAAUGGUGGACAUUGGAGGAAUGGCUUACGGGAGCUCUCUGUGAUAUCUGUUCACCAUGUCUUGUUC
rnacentral:lncRNA from 1 species